rnacentral:piRNA from 1 species
UACUGUGAGGUAAACGGUGGCUCCU